GAGUUGCAGUGAGGUUAGUGGAGGAACAGCAUCUAGUAAAGAUGAGGUCGAGCGUAUUGCCUGCCUUGUGAGUAGGGGGGGAAGGUGAGAGGGUGAGGUCAAAAGAGGAGAGGAGUGGAAAGAAGGAGGCAGAGAGGAAUGAGUCAAAGGUAGACGUGGGGAGGUUAAAGUCGCCCAGAACUGUGAGAGGUGAGCCGUCCUCAGGAAAGGAGCUUAUCAAGGCAUCAAGCUCAUUGAUGAACUCUCCGAGGGAACCUGGAGGGCGAUAAAUGAUAAGGAUGUUAAGCUUGAAAGGGCUGGUAACUCCAACCCAGCACAUUUAUGAAAUCAUGUAGUGGUUAACCAAGAAGUGUUUUUAAAGGAGAUGACUGAUGUUUAGAGUAUACUAUAAACUGAACUAGCUCUGAGAAUAUUUUCCCAAUGAAAGGUUUACUAGUUCCACUGGUUUUGCUGCUCUGUCAGUUAGGAGCACCUGAGAGUUUUCUAAGUGAAGACGCAUCCUCUGACAAAAAGACAGCACUCCAACCUGACAUCUGGUCUGAGCUGAGAGAUCUGAGAGACAUGGUGGCGCUACAGAGAGCAGAGCUGAGACGCACCAUGGCUGAACUACGAGACACUAAGAACCAGAUGGAGGCGCUGAAAACAGAGAACUCAGUAAUGGAGUCCAGGCUGAUGAGUUCUGAAGGACAACUUGAGGCAAUGAAGACAGACAAUGCAGCCAUAGUGAGCCGUGAAGCAUGGACGUGGAAACAUAUAUCUUUGGGGAUGCUUUUCUGCAAAGGGGACAGGACGACUGCACCGUAUUGAGGGGAGGAUGGAUGGGGCCAUGUAUCGCGAGAUCUUGGCAAACAACCUCCUUCCCUCAGUAAGAGCAUUGAAGAUGGGUCGUGAUAACGACCCAAAACACACAGCCAGGGCAACUAAGGAGUGUCUCCGUAAGAAGCAUCUCAAGGUCCUGGAAUGGCCUAGCCAGUCUCCAGACCUGAACCCAAUAGAAAAUCUUUGGAGGGAGCUGAAAGUCCGUAUUGCCCAGCGACAGCCCCGAAACCUGAAGGAUCUGGAGAAGGUCUGUAUGGAGGAGUGGGCCAAAAUCCUUGCUGCAGUGUGUGCAAACCUGGUCAAGAACUACAGGAAACGUGUCUUCACAGCACUGGUGAGAGGGGCCUACUACUUCGGCUUCACUAUUGGUGCAUAUCUCCAUUCCACUGUUAUGGGCCUAACACUGUUCAAGAAUGAACAACAAAUCAUUUAUACAGGCGAGUGGGGUAACCAUGGGCAGUUUAGGUAUGCAUCCAAUACUGUCAUACUACAGCUGGAGGUGGGAGAUGUCGUUUUGAUGCAACUCCCUGCAAACUACAGGAUCUUUGAUGAUUUACAUCAUCGUAACACUUUCACUGGUUCUCUGCUCUAUCACUGCUCACACACACACACACACACACACACACACACACACACACACACACACACACACACACACACGCACGCACACACACACACUUUUCAACAACACAUGCUGCAAUAUUCACUUUGACCAGUAGGGGGUAGUAGAUUCCCACAGUUGGCUGUGUGUUCUUUGAUCAAAGGGGGAUGGAUACAGUCAACACAGACCUAUUAUGUGAAUGUUUUGAUGAAUUCAAAUUAUCCAACCAUUUCAGGUUAUAGGUAUUUGGGGCCUUUUUAGCCAAGUGAAGUUAAAUAGAAUCAUAUAGAAUGUUUUUCAACGUUUCAGUUAGAAAAUAUUUACAAGUACAACAAACAAUGUACUGUAAUAUUGGCCUGCCUAGUUUGGUUUAAUGCAUGUUUUAGAAUUUUAACAACAAACCAAAAAAGUGUUAAACAAAUCUAAAUAUAUUUUAUGUUUGAGAUUCUUCUAAGUAGCCACCCUUUGUCUUGAUGACAGCUUUGGCAUUCUCUCAACCAGCUUCAUGAGGAAUGCUUUUCCAACAAUCUGAGGAAGUUCCUACAUAUGCUGAGCACUUGUUGGCUGCUUUUCCUUCACUCUGCGGUCCAACUCACCGCAAAACAUCUCAAUUGAGUUGAGGUCAGGUGAUUGUCGAGGUCAGAUCAUCUGAUGCAGCACUCCAUCACUCUCAUUCUUGGUCAAAUAGCCCUUACACAGCCUGGAGGUAUGUUUUGUGUCAUUGUCCUGUUGAAAAGCAAAUGAUAGUCCCACUAAGCGCAAACCAGAUUGAAUGGCGUAUCGCUGCAGAAUGUUAUGGUAGCCAUGCGGGUUAAGUGUAUAAUAAAUCACUGACAGUGUCACCAGCAAAGCACCCCCACACAUCACAUCUCCUCCUCCAUGCUUCACGGUCCGAACCACACAUGCGGAGAUCAUCCUUUCACCUACUCUGUGUCUCAAAGACACGGAGGUUGGAACCAAAAAUGUCAAAUUUAGGCUCAUCAGACCAAAGGACAGAUUUCCUCAGGUCUAAUGUCUAUUGCUCGUGUUUCUUGGCCCAAGCAAGUCUCCUCUUCUUAUUGGUGUCCUUUAGUGGUGGUUUCUUUGCAGCAAUUCAACCAUGAAUGCCUGAUUCAUACAGUCUCCUCUGAAUAGUUGAUGUUGAGAUGUGUCUGUUACUUGAACUCUGUGAAGCAUUUAUUUGGGCUGCAAUCUGAGGUGCAGUUAACUCUAAUGAACUUAUCCUCUGCAGCAGAGGUAACUCUGGGUCUUCUUUUCCUGUGGCGGUCCUCAUGAGAGCCAGUUUCAUCAUAGCGCUUGAUGGUUUUUGCGACUGCACUUGAAUAAACGUUAAAAGUUAUUGACAUUUUCCUGAUUGACUGAUUUUCAUGUCUUACAAAGUAAUGAUGGACAGUCGUUUCUCUUUGCUUAUUUGAACUGUUCUUGCCAUAAUAUGGACUUGGUCUUUUACCAAAUAGGGCUAUCUUCUGUAUACCACCCCUACCUUGUCACAACACAACUGAUUGGCUUAAACGCAUUAAGAAGGAAAUAAAUUAUUUUAACUAGGCAGACCUGUUAAUUGAAAUGCAUUCCAUGUGACUACCUCAUAAAGCUGGUUGAGAGAAUGCCAAAAGUGUGGAAAUCUGUCAUCAAGGCAAAGGGUGGCUACUUUAAAGAAUCUCAAAUAUAAAAUUAAUUUAUAUUAGUUAAACACCUUUUUGGUUACUACUUGAUUCCAUAUGUGUUAUGUCAUAGUUUUGAUGUCUUCACUAUUAUUCUACAAUGUAGAAAAUAGUACAAAAAUAAAGAAAAAGCCUUGAUAAGUAGGCGUGUUCAAACUUUUGACUGGUACUGUAUUUGCUAUGCAUUGAUGUCCGUAAGGAUGUUUAGUUUUCCUUUUUUUUCCCUUUUCUUAUAACAAGUUUUAAGUUUGUAGACCAUGUGCAAUAUUAGUUGGUAUAGCCUCUCACAACAAACAUAACAUCGUUCAAUUUCACUUUUGCACUAUCAAACCAGAUUCAAAAAACAGAUAAUAGAACACCUAACGGCAGGAUGGGGACUGUGAUACAUGUUGUAUUGUUUUUUUGCAUUGUAUUAUGUAUUGUAUCAUUUAUGUAAGACGUGGUUGGGAUACAACUGUGAUAUUCGGGUUGUCUCGCCUGGCUAUCUUGAGUUGAAUGCACUGGCCGUGGGUCUGUCUAGAUGGGAGUGUCUGCUGAAUGGCUCAGUUCUAAUGGAAAUGUAGUGCUAUGUAUGUAUAUGUAUGUAUAUGUAUGUAUAUGUAUGUAUAUUGAUGUAUAUUGAUGUAUAUUGAUGUAUUUUAUUUGUUGUGUUGUUUCCUGAUCGGACCCCAGGAAGAGUAACCGCUGCCUCGCAGCAGCUAAUUGGGGAUCCAA